UCCCUCCAAUUCCCUUUCCUAUUGGAUCUGAACAUCAGUUAUGGUGGUCGUAAAAGGAGGAAUAGUAACACUGAACUGGCCUCACAGGGCUCAGAGCCCACAACUGUAGCGCAUGGGAGAGUUUCAAGCAAGU